rnacentral:tRNA from 1 species
GAAGCAGUAGCUUAAUUAAAAGCAUAACACUGAAAAUGUUAAGAUGCAAUACACCUGAUUCA